rnacentral:rRNA from 1 species
UACGGGGGGGGUAAGCGUUGUUCGGAAUUACUGGGCGUAAAGGGCUCGUAGACGGCCAACUAAGUCAGACGUGAAAUCCCUCAGCUUAACUGGGGAACUGCGUCUGAUACUGGAUGGCUUGGAUUCGGGAGAGGAAUGCGGAAUUCCAGGUGUAGCGGUGAAAUGCGUAGAUAUCUGGAGGAACACCGGUGGCGAAGGCGGCAUUCUGGACCAAUACUGACGCUGAGGAGCGAAAGCCAGGGGAGCAAACGGG